UGGGCAAUGUAGUGAAAUGCUACCGCGAC
rnacentral:piRNA from 1 species